UCAGGACGAACGCUGGCGGCGUGCUUAACACAUGCAAGUCGAGCGAUGAAGCACCUUCGGGUGUGAAUUAGCGGCGAACGGGUGAGGAACACGUGAGAAAUCUGCCUUCAACACUGGGAUAACUCCGGGAAACCGGGGCUAAUACCGGAUAUGAAACCUGCGGGCAUCCGCGGGUUUGGAAAGUUUUUCGGUUGAAGAUGAUCUCGCGGCCUAUCAGCUUGUUGGUGAGGUAAUGGCUCACCAAGGCGACGACGGGUAGCCGGCCUGAGAGGGCGACCGGCCACACUGGGACUGAGACACGGCCCAGACUCCUACGGGAGGCAGCAGUGGGGAAUAUUGGGCAAUGGAGGAAACUCUGACCCAGCGACGCCGCGUGCGGGAUGAAGGCCUUCGGGUUGUAAACCGCUUUCAGCAGGGAAGAAGCGAAAGUGACGGUACCUGCAGAAGAAGCACCGGCUAACUAUGUGCCAGCAGCCGCGGUAAUACAUAGGGUGCAAGCGUUGUCCGGAAUUAUUGGGCGUAAAGAGCUCGUAGGUGGUUCGUCACGUCGGAUGUGAAACUCUGGGGCUUAACCCCAGACCUGCAUUCGAUACGGGCGAGCUUGAGUAUGGUAGGGGAGUCUGGAAUUCCUGGUGUAGCGGUGGAAUGCGCAGAUAUCAGGAGGAACACCAAUGGCGAAGGCAGGACUCUGGGCCAUUACUGACACUGAGGAGCGAAAGCGUGGGGAGCGAACAGGAUUAGAUACCCUGGUAGUCCACGCCGUAAACGGUGGGCACUAGUUGUGGGGACCUUCCACGGUCUCUGCGACGCAGCUAACGCAUUAAGUGCCCCGCCUGGGGAGUACGAUCGCAAGAUUAAAAC
rnacentral:rRNA from 1 species